rnacentral:misc_RNA from 1 species
AAAAUCCAUAGCUAAACUAAACAUUGAAAGAAAAGGGAGGAAAUGUUAACAGCACCUUCACUUUCCCGCUUUAAGUCUCCAUUUAUCAGCUCACCUCUUAAGCUUCCUACUCUUUCUUCUUCUUUUUUCACUCAGAAAUUUCAUCAAACAUGUCGUAGGCGAAAUUCGUACCCAUGUAUUAAAGCUGUGGAUCUUGAUCAAAACACGGUGAUAGCAAUUACAGUUGGGGUGCUCAGUGUUGCUAUUGGAGUUGGAAUUCCAGUUUUUUAUGAGACCCAAAUUGAUAAUGCUGCAAAAAGAGAGAACACUCAGCCCUGCUUCCCCUGCACUGGCACUGGUGCUCAGAAAUGCAGAUUUUGCAUGGGUACUGGCAGUGUGACGGUGGAGCUUGGAGGGGGUGAGACAGAAGUCUCUCGGUGCAUCAAUUGUGACGGUGCUGGUGGUUUGACUUGCACAACAUGUCAAGGCAGUGGCAUUCAACCUCGGUACCUUGAUCGCAGGGAAUUCAAGGACGAUGAUUAGAUAUGGAAGAAUACUCAGCAUGGAUGCCACAACUUGUUUAUUGUCUAGAAGACCUGUCAUUUUGACCUGAAUAUAUUGACACAAAAUUCUGUAAAAUUCAUUUAUGUUCAUCCCCUCUCUGCCUUUCUCAGUUUCCACAUAUUCCUUUCACCUUCUGUUCUUACAUGUAAUCUUUAACAAGUUGAGCAAUACAUGAUUUCAAUACCA